GACGAACGCUGGCGGCGCACCUAAGACAUGCAAGUCGAACGGGGGCUUCGGCCCCAGUGGCGGACGGGUGAGUAACGCGUAGGGGACCGUGCCCCGUGGAGGGGAGUACCACCGGGAAACCGGUAGCUAAGACCGCAUACGUCCGGUGGGCAUAGCGGCCAGCGGGGAAAUGCGCGAGCAGCCACGGGAGGGCCUUGCGGCGGAUUAGGUAGUUGGUGGGGUAGAAGCCUACCAAGCCGACGAUCCGUAGCUGGUCNGAGAGGACGACCAGCCAC
rnacentral:rRNA from 1 species